UCAACUUUGAGGAAGGCCAGCUCACCACCUUCUUUGAACUUCAGGGCUUGGUUUGAGAGCAUCGGCAAGAAGAAAGGAAUGAACCGUUUGAGGAUGAUGUCGUA
rnacentral:ribozyme from 14 species